UUAGGGGUGUCAGAGAGUUAUAUGAGCUUGUUUUAGGUACAAGAUACAGGCUGUUAAGCCUCCCCUGAU
rnacentral:tRNA from 1 species